CCAAGUAGAUGCUGCUACAUCUUUUGAGUUACAAAAGAUACAAAACGUAGCAAAACAAUAGAUGCAGCAAUAUACAACAAUUUCAUAUUGACGGUUCGGCAAUCCGUUGUUAUUCCUUCAAGAAUGUCCAGGCAGACAGCUACAGUGUUCCAAAUGGCUUAUGUUUCUUUCUCAUCAUCCUUCCUAGUGGUGAAAUCAGAAAUUUCCUCAAGGGUGUUUAAAUUUGAAAUAAGUAAAAAAAAAAAUCCCGAUAAAGAGUGUUCAAUAUAUGUAAUAUACCUCUAAAACAUGAUAUUUUACCUAUAU
rnacentral:lncRNA from 1 species